GACGAACGCUGGCGGCGUGCCUAAUACAUGCAAGUUGAGCGCUGAAGGUUGGUACUUGUACCAACUGGAUGAGCAGCGAACGGGUGAGUAACGCGUGGGGAAUCUGCCUUUGAGCGGGGGACAACAUUUGGAAACGAAUGCUAAUACCGCAUAAAAACUUUAAACACAAGUUUUAAGUUUGAAAGAUGCAAUUGCAUCACUCAAAGAUGAUCCCGCGUUGUAUUAGCUAGUUGGUGAGGUAAAGGCUCACCAAGGCGAUGAUACAUAGCCGACCUGAGAGGGUGAUCGGCCACAUUGGGACUGAGACACGGCCCAAACUCCUACGGGAGGCAGCAGUAGGGAAUCUUCGGCAAUCGACGAAAGUCUGACCGAGCAACGCCGCGUGAGUGAAGAAGGUUUUCGGAUCGUAAAACUCUGUUGGUAGAGAAGAACGUUGGUGAGAGUGGAAAGCUCAUCAAGUGACGGUAACUACCCAGAAAGGGACGGCUAACUACGUG
rnacentral:rRNA from 1 species